rnacentral:rRNA from 1 species
GACGAACGCUGGCGGCGUGCUUAACACAUGCAAGUCGAACGGAAAGGCCCUGCUUUUGUGGGGUGCUCGAGUGGCGAACGGGUGAGUAACACGUGAGUAACCUGCCCUUGACUUUGGGAUAACUUCAGGAAACUGGGGCUAGUACUGGAUAGGAGCUCCUGCUGCAUGGUGGGGGUUGGAAAGUUUCGGCGGUUGGGGAUGGACUCGCGGCUUAUCAGCUUGUUGGUGGGGUAGUGGCUUACCAAGGCUUUGACGGGUAGCCGGCCUGAGAGGGUGACCGGCCACAUUGGGACUGAGAUACGGCCCAGACUCCUACGGGAGGCAGCAGUGGGGAAUAUUGCACAAUGGGCGGAAGCCUGAUGCAGCAACGCCGCGUGCGGGAUGACGGCCUUCGGGUUGUAAACCGCUUUCGCCUGUGACGAAGCGUGAGUGACGGUAAUGGGUAAAGAAGCACCGGCUAACUACGUG